UUUAAGCCAUUUUUCGGACGUCGAUUUUCGUGUUACGACGCGUCUUAAGAACGGAACCCCUGUCGUAACCCAGGGACUGCCUGUAUAUUCUGAAGUGCUCUCAGAAUUUAAAUAAUGACUCAAUUUCAACAAUUUCUAGAACUGUUAUGGUGUCUGCGGUCGUCAAAACCUUUUAGACAUUGCCAGUAAAAAAAUAGCAUAAAAUAUUCGAUCAUAUAAACGUUGUUCCAGUGAUUAAGGCCCUUUAAAAGUGCAUGGAUAGUUAGAUUUUGACAAAAAUAUUCGCUUGUGUUUUAGGCCUUACUGUCUUUGAAUAUCCAUUUACGGUUAAGGGUGUGGUAAUAUAUUCAAUAAGAUUUCAGUGUUCGAGUCACGAAUUCAUUGAACACCAAGGAUCCAAAUACCGUGCUACAUUCAUUAUUCCAAACAGCCAAAAUAAUUUAUAUUUUUCAGUGCAGGGUACGUAGUAAAGAUACGCAACUCCACAAAUGGAUUUAAGUAGUUAGUAACAAAUUUACUAACAAAUUAUCCCGAUCAAUACCGAUCCUUUAUAUACACUCAUCAAGUGGUGUUAAAUUUUCAUCAGUCUUACAUUGAUUCAAUUCUAAGUUUACCAGGAACCUUCAUGUUUCAAAAUGUAGAGAGAAAAUGAUGCAAACAUUAACGAUCAAUAAUAAUUAAUUCAUUUUUCUUGCAUUUAGUAGGACAUAUUAUGAAUAACCGCGAAAUUAUAACACCCUUUUGAAAUGUGAUUACUGGAAUUGAGUGUUUGGUUUUUAUGAUUAUAAAGUUGUGUUCAACAGUCUUAAAUAAUUAAGUUUAAGCAAAAUUGCAAUGGUUUCUGUGGCUAAUAAUAUAUCAAGAAUGCAAGACAUUGUCAUUUCCUUUUAAAACCUAUAUUUGCAUAGUUUCUCCUUUAUUUUAAUUUAUUUUAUUUUAUUUAUCUUUAGGAAACUUACGAAGUACCAGCAAUCGAAGACGUACCCUGAAAUUUUCUAUAUGUUGUAUGCCUGGGGAAUACCUUUAUGUAUAUGUGCAGUGACAAUUAUGAUGCAGUUUAUAGAACCUCAUCAGGUCAGGGGCGAGAUCAGGCCAUAUAUAGCCAUACAUAAAUGUUGGUUUGAAGCCACACAGAAGUAGUGGCACAUUCCCCCUCCUGACGUUGGUGUCUUAAUUGAUGCAAGCCUGCAUCCCAUUUGUUGCAAGUUGGACACUUGGAUGACAUUCAAGUCAGCUGCUUCGAAUCACGUAAGGGCCGUACGGACUCGUGUGAAUGUUUACAGCAGCUGAUGACCGUCCCUAGUAUAACAUUGAAACUAGUAUCGUCGCCACAAACAUACACCAGUUUACAGCAGGAGCCGAACUACGUAUCCACGUCAGUUAUUCGGGAAGCUUCUGUGAGAUCAACUACUCCCGAGAAAUGCAUACAAAUUAAGUAUUGUGUACUGCUACAG